ensembl:piRNA 21ur-3597 ncRNA
UUUGAUAGACUUCCUUAACGC